CUAAGGUAGCAUAAUCAUUUGUUAUUUAAUUGGUAACUGGAAUGAAAGGUUAAACUAACUUACUAAGUUUGUAAGAUUAAAUAGUAUCUUAAAGUUAAGGUAAGAAUUCUUUAAUUUACUAGGGGACGAUAAGACCCUAGAAGCUUAACAAGCAGAAAAUUUUGUUUUACAAGAUUGUUUGUUUUACUGGGGCGGUAAAAAUAAUUAAGCUAUUUAGUAGUAAUAAGAUCCUUAAAAUAAAGAUAAAAUGGGGAAGUUACUCUAGGGAUAA
rnacentral:rRNA from 1 species